UGUGUGUGUGUGUGAGUCAGUGACUUGGUUAAUACCUGCAUGUGUGUCUCUGUGUGUGUGAGUGAGUCAGUGACUCGGGUAAUACCCUCGUGUGUGUGUGUGUGUCUUUGUGAGUGUGAAGCUGUGCUUGCGUAUGUGUGACUGGCUGAAGGGCCACUUUCAGCCCUGUGAUGAGGAGUGAAGGUGGGUGGUAGCAGGUAGCAUCCCCGAGGGCUCCUCAGGGCAGUGCUGGAAUUGUACCCAGCUGCGGUUUAGCCUUCCAGCUGCACAUCAUUAGCACCUAGCAGCUGUGGUGUUGCAGUUGACUGUGAAGAACCCAUCCACCCAGACGUCUGCUGUAAUGGCAGCCCUCUCCCUUCUGCCGGGCUAAGCCUCCUGCACCGUUCAUCACCGCAAGCAUCUGUGUGACAGAAAACGCAAAGUUCUGCAUUCACGUUCAGCUAUGAUGAGCUUCACCCUAAGUCUACUGUACUAAAUAUUGAUUGAGUAGUGGUUAGGGGACAUGCCAUUAUGUUUUUGUUAUUUUAACUUGGCAGGUGUUUGUGUUCAGGCAACAGAUACUUUCAGGCAUCUGUUCGGGUAAAAAGACCUAUUGUUAACAUUGUUACGAACAUUGCUUUUUUAAGCUAGAGAUAACAGGUAUCAGAGCUAAUUAAUGCUAAUAAUAAUUUUUAACAUUUCAUUAUUAUUAAGUGUCAGAAAAUGUAUAACAAAUCAUUUAAAAUGAUUAUUAUCAUAUGCAAAAGCAAGUGCAAUAAAACUGUCUAAUUAGUUAAAAAAAAAAAAAAA